AAGAUAUUUCUAAUUUAGAAUCUUUUCAUAUUGUACUCUGAAUUUUAACCGAAUUAUUUUUUAUUAUGAUAUUCAAGCUAAAAAAAAUCGAGAAUGAAUCAUUACAACCAAGUUGAUUCUAUAAUAAAACAUCUGGAUCUGGAUUAUCGACCGUUGACCAGUAAAAAGAUCAACAAAACAAAACUGUAUUGCGACAUGGUGAGCAUGUCAGAGGUCAACUGUCUAAUCUAAAGUAUAAGUCUCCCAAAUUAGUUAAGUACAUUUAAAAAUUAUAAAAGGUAUAAUUUUGUGUUGACAAAUUUUCACAUGAAAAGUAAAAUAACAGAAUUACCGAACUCCUAGGAAAAUUUCAAACGGAAGGCCGUAAUCAAAGAGGGACGAAAGAUACCAAAGGGACAGUCAAACUCAUAAAUCUAAAAUAAACUGACAACGCCAUGGCUAAAAAUGAAAAAAGACAACCAAAAAAAACA
rnacentral:lncRNA from 1 species